GACGGAGGGUGCAAGCGUUAUUCGGAAUCAUUGGGCGUAAAGAGCGUGUAGGCGGCCGGUUAAGUCAGGUGUGAAAGCCCGGGGCUCAACCCAGGAAGGGCACUUGAUACUGGUCGGCUUGAGUUCGGGAGAGGGAAGCGGAAUUCCUGGUGUAGAGGUGAAAUUCGUAGAUAUCAGGAGGAACACCGGUGGCGAAGGCGGCUUCCUGGACCGAAACUGACGCUGAGACGCGAAAUCGUGGGGAGUAAACAGG
rnacentral:rRNA from 1 species